UGUGAACUCGAAGAGUAGGGCGGGACACGUGGUAUCCUGUCUGAAUAUGGGGGGACCAUCCUCCAAGGCUAAAUACUCCUGACUGACCGAUAGUGAACCAGUACCGUGAGGGAAAGGCGAAAAGAACCCCGGCGAGGGGAGUGAAAAAGAACCUGAAACCGUGUACGUACAAGCAGUGGGAGCACCUUUAUGGUGUGACUGCGUACCUUUUGUAUAAUGGGUCAGCGACUUAUAUUCUGUAGCAAGGUUAACCGUAUAGGGGAGCCGCAGGGAAACCGAGUCUUAACUGGGCGUUAAGUUGCAGGGUAUAGACCCGAAACCCGGUGAUCUAGCCAUGGGCAGGUUGAAGGUUGGGUAACACUAACUGGAGGACCGAACCGACUAAUGUUGAAAAAUUAGCGGAUGACUUGUGGCUGGGGGUGAAAGGCCAAUCAAACCGGGAGAUAGCUGGUUCUCCCCGAAAGCUAUUUAGGUAGCGCCUCGUGAAUUCAUCUUCGGGGGUAGAGCACUGUUUCGGCUAGGGGGUCAUCCCGACUUACCAACCCGAUGCAAACUACGAAUACCGAAGAAUGUUAUCACGGGAGACACACGGCGGGUGCUAACGUCCGUCGUGAAGAGGGAAACAACCCAGACCGCCAGCUAAGGUCCCAAAGUCAUGGUUAAGUGGGAAACGAUGUGGGAAGGCACAGACAGCCAGGAUGUUGGCUUAGAAGCAGCCAUCAUUUAAAGAAAGCGUAAUAGCUCACUGGUCGAGUCGGCCUGCGCGGAAGAUGUAACGGGGCUAAACCAUGCACCGAAGCUGCGGCAGCGACACUAUGUGUUGUUGGGUAGGGGAGCGUUCUGUAAGCCUGCGAAGGUGACCUGUGAGGGUUGCUGGAGGUAUCAGAAGUGCGAAUGCUGACAUAAGUAACGAUAAAGCGGGUGAAAAGCCCGCUCGCCGGAAGACCAAGGGUUCCUGUCCAACGUUAAUCGGGGCAGGGUGAGUCGACCCCUAAGGCGAGGCCGAAAGGCGUAGUCGAUGGGAAACAGGUUAAUAUUCCUGUACUUGGUGUUACUGCGAAGGGGGGACGGAGAAGGCUAUGUUAGCCGGGCGACGGUUGUCCCGGUUUAAGCAUGUAGGCUGAUUAUCCAGGCAAAUCCGGAUAAUCAAGGCUGAGGUGUGAUGACGAGGCACUACGGUGCUGAAGUAACAAAUGCCCUGCUUCCAGGAAAAGCCUCUAAGCAUCAGGUAACAUCAAAUCGUACCCCAAACCGACACAGGUGGUCAGGUAGAGAAUACCAAGGCGCUUGAGAGAACUCGGGUGAAGGAACUAGGCAAAAUGGUGCCGUAACUUCGGGAGAAGGCACGCUGGUGUGUAGGUGAAGCCCCUGCGGGUGGAGCUGAGACCAGUCGAAGAUACCAGCUGGCUGCAACUGUUUAUUAAAAACACAGCACUGUGCAAACACGAAAGUGGACGUAUACGGUGUGACGCCUGCCCGGUGCCGGAAGGUUAAUUGAUGGGGUUAUCCGUAAGGAGAAGCUCUUGAUCGAAGCCCCGGUAAACGGCGGCCGUAACUAUAACGGUCCUAAGGUAGCGAAAUUCCUUGUCGGGUAAGUUCCGACCUGCACGAAUGGCGUAAUGAUGGCCAGGCUGUCUCCACCCGAGACUCAGUGAAAUUGAACUCGCUGUGAAGAUGCAGUGUACCCGCGGCAAGACGGAAAGACCCCGUGAACCUUUACUAUAGCUUGACACUGAACAUUGAGCCUUGAUGUGUAGGAUAGGUGGGAGGCUUUGAAGCGUGGACGCCAGUCUGCGUGGAGCCAACCUUGAAAUACCACCCUUUAAUGUUUGAUGUUCUAACGUUGGCCCCUUACCGGGGUUGCGGACAGUGUCUGGUGGGUAGUUUGACUGGGGCGGUCUCCUCCCAAAGCGUAACGGAGGAGCACGAAGGUUAGCUAAUCCUGGUCGGACAUCAGGAGGUUAGUGCAAUGGCAUAAGCUAGCUUGACUGCGAGCGUGACGGCGCGAGCAGGUGCGAAAGCAGGUCAUAGUGAUCCGGUGGUUCUGAAUGGAAGGGCCAUCGCUCAACGGAUAAAAGGUACUCCGGGGAUAACAGGCUGAUACCGCCCAAGAGUUCAUAUCGACGGCGGUGUUUGGCACCUCGAUGUCGGCUCAUCACAUCCUGGGGCUGAAGUAGGUCCCAAGGGUAUGGCUGUUCGCCAUUUAAAGUGGUACGCGAGCUGGGUUUAGAACGUCGUGAGACAGUUCGGUCCCUAUCUGCCGUGGGCGCUGGAGAAUUGAGGGGGGCUGCUCCUAGUACGAGAGGACCGGAGUGGACGCAUCACUGGUGUUCGGGUUGUCAUGCCAAUGGCACUGCCCGGUAGCUAAAUGCGGAAGAGAUAAGUGCUGAAAGCAUCUAAGCACGAAACUUGCCCCGAGAUGAGUUCUCCCUGAGACUUUAAGUCUCCUGAAGGAACGUUAAAGACGAUGACGUUGAUAGGCCGGGUGUGUAAGCGCAGCGAUGCGUUGAGCUAACCGGUACUAAUGAACCGUGAGGCUUAACCUUACAACGCCGAAG
rnacentral:rRNA from 1 species